GAGAGCGGCGGGGGAGGGGCCGGGGGAAGCGGUGGGUGGCAAGCGGUGUCCGGAAUGAUUGGGCGUAAAGCGCGGGCAGGCGGGUUGUUAAGUCGGAUGGGAAAGCCCACGGCUCAACCGUGGAGGGUCAUUGGAAACUGGGAAACUUGAGUGCAGAAGAGGAGAGUGGAAUUCCACGUGUAGCGGUGAAAUGCGUAGAGAUGUGGAGGAACACCAGUGGCGAAGGCGACUCUCUGGUCUGUAACUGACGCUGAGGCGCGAAAGCGUGGGUAGCGAACAGGAUUAGAUACCCCGGUAGUC
rnacentral:rRNA from 1 species